rnacentral:rRNA from 1 species
CGCGUGAGUGAAGAAGGCCUUCGGGUUGUAAAGCUCUUUCGCGAGGGAAGAAAAGGUACGGGCUAAUACCCUGUGCUGAUGACGGUACCUUGAUAAGAAGCACCGGCUAACUACGUGCCAGCAGCCGCGGUAAUACGUAGGGUGCGAGCGUUAAUCGGAAUUACUGGGCGUAAAGCGUGCGCAGGCGGUUUCGUAAGACAGACGUGAAAUCCCCGGGCUCAACCUGGGAACUGCGUUUGUGACUGCGAGGCUAGAGUUUGGCAGAGGGGGGUGGAAUUCCACGUGUAGCAGUGAAAUGCGUAGAGAUGUGGAGGAACACCGAUGGCGAAGGCAGCCCCCUGGGCCAAUACUGACGCUCAUGCACGAAAGCGUGGGGAGCAAACAGGAUUAGAUACCCUGGUAGUCCACGCCCUAAACGAUGUCAACUAGGUGUUGGGAGGGUUAAACCUUUUAGUGCCGUAGCUAACGCGUGAAGUUGACCGCCUGGGGAGUACGGCCGCA